GACGACAUUGAUGACAAAAUCGCC
rnacentral:siRNA from 1 species